GUUAUUUCGGACUACGCUACUAGUCUAAGUCCUUUAAUGGACUACGUUAUUGGGGUCAAGACACCUACGGAUACUCCUCAAGUCUGUAGCCCUGUCGUUAGUCAUUAAACAAUUCUUAGAGUCGUGGGAUAGUGUGACUAGCU
rnacentral:ncRNA from 1 species